rnacentral:rRNA from 1 species
UACAGAGGGUGCGAGCGUUGUCCGGAAUCACUGGGCGUAAAGGGCGCGUAGGCGGUUCGGCAAGUCUCUAGUGAAAUCUCAGGGCUCAACUCUGAGUCUGCUGGGGAAACUGCUGAGCUUGAGUACUUAAGAGGAUCGCGGAAUUCCCGGUGUAGAGGUGAAAUUCGUAGAUAUCGGGAGGAACACCAGUGGCGAAGGCGGCGAUCUGGGAAGAUACUGACGCUGAGGUGCGAAAGCGUGGGGAGCAAACAGG